rnacentral:lncRNA from 1 species
UAAACACAUCACAGGGAUUUAGUAUUUUAACGUCAUUAAUAGUCAAAGAAGACAUGACUUGUGCAAUGCCAAAAAUAAAUGUAUCGACAGGUAGUAGUAUAGUGAAGAGCGACUUCUAUAGAAAUAAAAGUUAACGUGUCUGUGUCUCUAUACAUCUCGCCUCAAAAGAUAAUGAAAUUUAGUUAUGUUUUAAUUUGCUAAUGACAAAAUCAAUAUUAGUGCCAAUGUGAACUAUAUUCAGAG